AGGAAUAUUGGUCAAUGGGCGCGAGCCUGAACCAGCCAAGUCGCGUGAGGGAUGACGGCCCUACGGGUUGUAAACCUCUUUUGUCGGGGAGCAAAUUCCGCCACGUGUGGCGGAGUCGAGAGUACCCGAAGAAAAAGCAUCGGCUAACUCCGUGCCAUCAGCCGCGGUAAUACGGAGGAUGCGGGCCUUAUCCGGAUUUAUUGGGUUUAAAGGGUGCGUAGGCGGACUGUCAAGUAAGCGGUAAAAUACGGGGGCUCAACCUCCGCCCGCCGUUGAAACUGACGGUCUUGAGUGGGCGAGAAGUAUGCGGAAUGCGUGGUGUAGCGGUGAAAUGCAUAGAUAUCACGCAGAACCCCGAUUGCGAAGGCAGCAUACCGGCGCCCUACUGACGCUGAGGCACGAAAGUGCGGGGAUCAAA
rnacentral:rRNA from 1 species